CGUGGAUUUAAAAGCAUUCAACAAAAUUAAAACAUUAAGCUUUAAGUCAUUUUGCAAUUUAUUGCAGUCCGAAGGUGCAGAAUACAUAAAUUCCCUUUUUCCAGUCUCUGUACGGACACUUGGGUCAGAAAGCAUAAAAAAAGUCCUGAGAUCGCAAGGCAUACUGUCCAGUAUUUUUCUGCGAUAUAAAUAUACGGAGGUAUGAUGGGAGCAGACUAACAAUUGCAUAUAAAUUGUAUAUAUAAGUAUAACAAUUGUAUAUAAAAGUAAUCCAAUGUACAAGUCGUACAGAAAGGUGGCAGCAACAAGUCUCUCUAAAGUAGGAAUAUAUGUUUGUUUCGGUUACACCACCAUCUAUUUUGAACUAUUCGUGUUUUUUCUAGGUUGUUUUGGGUUACCUUUCUGUAGGUCUAUGCUGGCGACAGCCUGCAUAGCUCAGAUAGGCCUACUGUAAUAAAGAAAACAAUCUAAAAAGAAAACAAAAUAGGCUACACACGCGCGUUGCGGUUGCAUGGAAUAUUUACAAAAGUAACCACAGCAUUAUUCGUGGAUACGCCUUUUCUGUCGCAUGAUAUAGGCUACACCCUACCCUACGUAUGGUCUACGGUGGAGGGGGGAAUCCCGACAGGCGCGACAGGUAGGUUUCUUCUUCCUGGUGAACUCCCGUCAUUGACGUGUGAGAUAUACUGCACUGUGUCAUCGCACGUGAUAACAUGGAAAGGGAAACUAAACUCAUCCAUACAUCAAACGGGAAAGAGUCGUUUCUUGUAACUGAAAUAUCUUCUCGACGGCAGAGACCAACCACCUGAGACGAAGAUCAGGCUUUUUUUAAAAGCUUGCAAGAAAAGUUAUCUACUAUAAAAUAAAUUUAAAUAAAAUGUCUAAAAAGGAAGACACCAUUGUGGAGUGUGCACUGGAGCUGCGGAACUUUGGGGACUGUUACAACAUAAUGUACAGUCUUCUUGGCACUGUCUUUCUCAACGGACAAGCGGCCCAAGACAGUAAAGUCGACACGGACUCCACGAAGAAAAACAAGACUAAAAAACCGAACAAAUAAAGGUUAGGAGAAACAAAAUGUGGAAGGAUUGCGGCAUCGACUUAACAGGUUUUAAUCCUGUGUCAAGUCCAGUCAGAGUUCAUUUUCUGAACUGGAGAGUUCUGGGUAUAGAAAUGGGUAUAGUCCUGUUCUGAAUGCCAGACGACAGGUUCAGAUUUGGAACCUCCAACGAAAUUGCAGUAGGCCUGCUGUGUAAAGGAUGUGGAUUCCAAACGACGUUGACUCAGAGAUGGGUGCCAGGUCGUACGUGGAAAGAACUGCCCAACUUUUUUGUUUCAGAAUGUGUUUAUUGAUUUAAAGAAGUGGGCUUACAGACUAUUUUGUGUUCGGUCAUCUUAAGUGGUUUCCGGUGUAAAUGCUAUUUACUGUCGGUAGCUUACAUAUUUAUUCUACAGUAUAAGUGAGCAGUUGUCGCUUAGUGUUUGUUGUUGAUUUGUCUUUUUCUGCCGCGAGGUGGCGGUAUUGAUCCAUUAAUUGUCUAAGUGGCUGCCUUUACCUUUUGACGUUGAAAAUUGAAACACUGCAGCGUUUGGCCACUACCACGACAAACUAGAAGCUGUUCCAGACCUGGAAGCUACAUUUUCUUGCAGAUCUUGCAGUUACCUCUGAAUGAACAACUAACUUGUUAUCCAAAUAUUUUUUCUUUCUUCUUAAUAAGCUGCUUCAUUGAAGUGAUUGCAAUGUUAUGGGGAUGAGAUGUGCAGAGGACUUGCUUGGCAUUACAUUCAAACAUCAAUAGGUUUAGCACAACAGUUGGCCAGUCUUAUUGUACGCUGGGCCCAGAAAAAAAUGGUUGUUUUUGUUGUUGGCUCAAUUUGAUAAAUGAAAUUACUUAAUUGAUAAAUUAAGUGACUUCGAUUGAUAAAUUAAGUCACUGUUUCCAAACCCUGGGUCUUGGGGCACUGUUUAAGCAAGGUAUUGUUCCAGCUGCUUUUAAUUAAUUAGGUUCAGUUGGCCUGGUUUAUUCAGUACCAAACUGUAUAUAUCAGCCUGAUUGUUAAUUUGCUGCAACGGUGUGUUGUAGGAGAGUGGAGUGCUAAUGAAUCUAAGCAAAGAUCUGUUAUUGUCUUAAUGUUUUUUUUUUUAAUUUUUUUUUUUUAACUGUAUAUCUAAAUAUGAAAAUAUCAUAAGAAACCGAAAAAGGUUAAUUCAAAAGAUGCAAUCUUAUGACAGUUGUGCAACAAAAAAGUUCACCUGCAUUGGUUUCAUUCCUUGGAGUUUUAAUCCAGGAUGCAAUGUGUAGAAGGCCUUUGGGGAUUAUUACUGCCAUCCGUUUUGCCAUUUCAAACUGGGCACUUUCUCUCGUCUUCUUCCCGUCCCUUGCCAAGCCCAUUGUGGGGAGUCACGUUUGUGCCAAAGAACUGGGAAGCAUGCAGCUGUCUGACGGGACCCAAGUACUUUCCAUCAGCUCUGGAUUAAAGUCACAACACCACCCACAAAUCCCUGUUCGGGGGUUGCGGCAAUGCACAAAAAGGGGAUCCUUACAGAACGGACAGUUUAUAUGUCUGCUACUGAGUCUACGAUGUGAUGAUUAAGACCGUGGACAACAUCUGCUCACCUGUGGUUCAGGCAAGGAAGGGUGUUUUUUUUUUUUUUUUUGAAGGGGAAGGGGGGGUGGGUAUUUAUUUUAUUUUCGGGAAUGUACUUUUAAAAAUUGCCCUUUCUUGGAAGCAAAAAUAAAACCCAGUUAUGGAUUA